AUACUACUCCCUCCGUUCAAAAAUACUUGUCGCAAAAAUGAAUAUAAAUGGAUGCAUCUAAAACUAAAAUAUGUCUAAAUACAUCCAUUCUUUCGACAAGUAUUUCCGGAUGGAGGGAGUAUAGC
rfam:Triticum aestivum genome assembly, contig: Triticum_aestivum_CS42_TGACv1_scaffold_243604_3B